ensembl:lncRNA
AUGGCUGCUUCUCCUUCUCCCCACUCUCUGCAUGGCUGGUCCCACUGCCUUCUGUGGGUCCUCUUCAGAGUGGCUGGUCCCACUGCCUUCUGUGGGUCCUCUUCAGAGUGGCUGGUCCCUACUGCCUUCUGUGAGUCCUCUUCAGAGUGGCUGGUUCCUACUGCCUUCUCUGGGUCCUCUUCAGUGUGGCUGGUUCCUACUGCCUUCUCUGAAUCCUCUUCAGAAUGGCUGGUUGCCACUGCCUACUGUGGAUCCUCUUCAGAGUGGCUGGUCCCACUGCCUUCUCUGGGUCCUCUUCAGAGUGGCUGGUUCCUACUGCCUACUGCCUGUCACUCCCAGAAAUGGUUACCAAACAUCUUUGACUAAAUCCCAUUAUCUGGUGUAACAAUCUGUAUCUAUGUAACCGAAAAGCAACUUCAAGUGACAGAUUUCCCACAGGGCACAGACAUCAUUUCAACAUCUAGUUUUGAUUUUAAUUUGGUUGAGUUGUCAACUAACUUGAAUUCAACGUGAUAUCAAUAAAACAUUUCACAAUGUCAUUGGAUUUAGGUUCAAAGUUGGGUGAAAAAACAUGAAAUUCCUUGUAAAUCCAAUCCGGUUUUGGCAUAGAUUGAACAUCAUCACAUUUCAUUUUUGGUUGAAAUGACAUAAAAACAACAGAUUCAACCAGUUUCUGCCUAGUGGGAAGCUUUAGUCUAAACUUAACAUAAUGAAUAGUGUUUGACCUGAAAUCAUAAUUUGAUCCUGACAGAUUAAAUCCAAUUUAAAAGGAGCAAAAGCUAAAUAAAACCCCCAUAGUAUUACUUAAAGAUGUGGGCUUACCUUUAACACUUCUUGUAGAUAAGAAAUACUCCAACAAACAAAACUAAGGCCAGGACACCAAAAGCAGCUAGUAUGAGGAUCCAUGGAAUAAAACACAUGUCAGAUUUAUCUGUGACUGUCUCUUUGUUUCUCUCUACUCACAAACCUGCAUAGUUCUCCCAUCUGAUAUACAAAAAAAGUCCCUUGCGUUCUUAUCUUAUUGACGUUUGGAGAGAGCCGCAUAUAGGGUUUGCUUAUAAGAGAAGUAAAAAGAUAACCAGAAACAGAAAUGCCUUUGAAAUGUGUGGACUAACCAAGGUUCUUGUUCAGCACCUUAACACAUGACACAGUCGUUGGCAACCUUUUUGUGUUUGAACCUUUGACAUGUUUUGCUCCCGAGUGGCGCAGCGGUGUAAAGCACUGCAUCUCAGUGCAAGAGCCGUCACUACAGUCCCUGGUUGAAAUCCAGGCUGUAUCACAUCCGGCCAUGAUUGGAAGUCCCAUAGGGCGGCGCACAAUUGGCCCAGCGUCGUCCUGGUUUGGCUAGGGGUAGGCGGUCAUUGUAAAUAAGAAUUUGUUCUUAAUUGACUUGCCUAGUUAAAUAAAGAUUACAUUUUAAAAAUGUGUUACAUCCCCGCCUUUAGCUAGUACCUAAAAAGAGGUCGCGAUCCAUCAUUGGAUCACAAGUCCCGACCUUCCAUUUAGGAAACAAUGACUUUACAACGAAUUUCACUCUCUGCUGAAAGGUCUGUAUUUUUCCACCAAUCAUACACCCCACUGAGCUGCUUGGUCAGCUGUCUGAUAGUGAUUUCUCCAGGUGUGGUGUUCAAGGAUGUCCUCCCUUUAAAAUCCCGAAAUUCCCAUAUCUCAGCACUGUCCCAUUCCACCGCCUUAUUUACACCAUGUUUCCAGAGGAUCUCCUGUAAAACUGUUACAGGAAUCAAAUUCCUCUAUGUUUUAAUACCCAAUUAAAAUUAAACACUCUGUCAUUUCCUAAGAAUUUGUAAGACUCUUAUUUGCAUAAAAUGGGCCUCCGAUUUGACACACUGAACGAACUCUAUCAGAGAAGUAGUUGGUGAGCCAGGCGAGGCAAUCAUUUGAGAAACCAAGGCUAUCGAGUCUGCCGAUGAGGAUGUGGUGAUUGACAGAGUCGAAAGCCUUGGCCAGGUCAAUGAAUACGGCUGCACAGUAUUGUUUCUUAUCUGCCUGUGUUUAAUGGUUUCUAGCUUCCCUGAACAGCUGCAUAUCACGGGGGCUGUUCGAUGCUAAUGCAGAACGUCAUAGGAUGUUUUUGUGUUGGUUAAGGGCAGUCAGGUCUGGGGAGAACCAAGGGCUAUAUCUGUUCCUGGUUCUAAAUUUCUUAAAUGGGGCAUGCUUAUUUAAGAUGGUUAGGAAGGCAUCUGACGGGAUGAGAUCAAUAUCCUUCCAGGAUACCCCGGCCAGACGAUUAGAAAGGCCUGCUCGCUGAAGUGUUUCAGGGAGCGUUUGACAGUGAUGAGUGGAGGUCGUUUGACCGCUGACCCAUUACGGAUGAAGGCAAUGAGGCAAUUGAUCGCUGAGAUCUUGGUUGAAGACAGCAGAGGUGUAUUUAGAGGGCAAGUUGGUUAGGAUGAUAUCUAUGAGGGUGCCUGUGUUUAAGGCUUUGGGGAGGUACCUGGUAGGUUCAUUGAUAAUUUGUGUGAGAUUGAGGGCAUCAAGCUUAGAUUGUAGAAUGGCUGGGGUGUUAAGCAUGUUCCAGUUUAGGUCGCCUAGCAGCAAGCUCUGAAGAUAGAUGGGGGGCAAUCAGUUCACAUAUGGUGUCCAGAGCACAGCUGGGGGCAGAGGGUGGUCUAUAGCAGGCGACAACGGUGAGAGACUUGUUUUUACAGACCUGGAUAGUAGGACAGAACUCUGCAGGCUAUCUUUGCAGUAGAUUGCAACACCGCCCCCUUUGGCAGUUCUAUCUUGUUGUAGUUUGGGAUGAACAUUUCAGAAUUUUUGGUGGUCUUCCUAAACCAGGAUUCAGACACAGCUAGAACAUCCGGGUUGGCAGAGUGUGCUAAAGCAAUUCAUAAAACAAACUUAGGGAGGAGGCUUCUAAUUUUGACAUGCAUGAAACCAAGGCUAUUACGGUUACAGAAGUCAUCAAAAGAGAGUGCCUGGGGAAUAGGAGUGGAGCUAGGCACUGCAGGGCCUGGAUUCACCUCUACAUCGCCAGAGGAACAGAGGAGGAGUAGGAUAAGGGUACGGCUAAAAGCAAUAAGAAUUGGUCGUCUAGAACGUCUGGAACAGAGAGCAAAAGGAGGAUUCUGGGGGCGAUAAAAUAGCUUCAAGGUAUAAUGUACAGACAAAGGUAUGGUAGGAUGUGAAUACAGUGGAGGUAAACCUAGGCAUUGAGUGAUGAUGAGAGAGAUAUUGUCUCUAGAUACAUAAUUGAAACCAGGUGAUGUCAUCGCAUGUGUGGGUGGUGGAACUAAUAGGUUGGAUAAGGUAUAAUCAGCAGGACUAGAGGCUCUACAGUGAAAUAAGCCAAUAAACACUAACCAGAACAGCAAUGGACAAUGCAUAUUGACAUUAAGGAGAGGCAUGCUUAUUCGAGUGAUCAAAAGGGUCCAGUGAGUAGUGAGGUUGGUUGGGUGUCACGGUGAUUCAGACAGCUAGUCGGCCAUCGGUAGCAAGCUAGCAUAGGAUGGAGGUCUGUUAUUAGCCACCUCGUGCGUUUCCGUCGGUAGGAUUAGUGGGGUUCCGUGUGGUAGAGGGGAUCAAUCCAAUUCGCAAAAAAAACUAUAGAUAUAGUUAUAGAGGCCCAAGAAAAAGAAAAAAAAUAUAUAGAUAACAUAAUAACAUAAUAGUAAUAACAAUAACAAAUAACAUAAAGAGAUGUGUAGAAAUAUAAUCAUCCUCUGUGUCUGUAGAUCAUUUUCCCUUAAUGUAUUUGUCAUGUCAGCCAGGCCAAUCUUUUCAAAGUAACAAUAUCUAGUUGAGUAAAAUAAGGAGUCUAUGGCUUCAUUCCUUGUUUCGUUUUAGACUUGUUACCUGGUAAAUAACCAACAACCAUCAUGAGGAAACCGUCCAUGUCAGGUGAGAAAACAGUCCAUGUCAGCCUAGCGCAUCUUUUUAAAUAAACACCACUUAUUUCAAUCUCUAGUUGAGUAAAAAAAUAAACGUUUUGUUCUGAUUAAAAGACAAUACAGAAAAUUGCAGUAAACAGUGCCACGCUCAGGCAGAAAACUCAAUGUUCUAUUCUAUAUCUAUUUGAAAACAAUAAGUAGUUUUG